AUGAAUGCACGUAGGGUUUCAAGCCCAACGCAGACAGACCCAGAUGUGGCUUUGCUGCCGCCAUUCGACUUCUGGCAGCCGGAAGCUUUUGGCGGAAGAAGGAGCGCUCGGCACCUGGCAGCAGCGCCUCCUUCUCUACCCAGCAGAGCGUUUUCCUUUCCGUCCUGCAGAUUCAACCCAGACACCACGCUGCUGGAGGCCGUUCCACGAUGCUGGGCCCGCUGGAGGGAAGGGGAGACGCGGGGGGAGAACGGAGAACAGAAGGAGACAAGAACUGGGCAGAAUGUCAGACCCUCCUUGAGGUGUGGACGGGUGUGCGUUGCAUUGGACUGCGCAGAAGACUCCAGUCCGUGUCCUGUCAAGAGACCUGCGAAUUGUGAUUUUAAGAAAGUUUACCUUGUUCGCAUGUUCCGAUCUAUUGCUUCUUGGCAGCUGCUCGGAAAUGGCAGCGACCCAACGGAAACCUCAGGCAUGCAGGCUGGGGAGGUGAGGGGAGGAGCCCGGGACAGGCGCUGCAGGAUUAACCCCUGUCACCUGCAGUCAGAUGUCUCACCUGCUGCCCUGCAACGGAGACGCAUGCAAAUCAGGGAUUUUAUGCCGUUUGAUGUGCAGCAGCAUCCUUGUUUGUGGCAUUUGGCUGAUGCUGAUAUGCUUCUCGCUGCUUGUAGAGCACAAGAUGGUCAAAAACGGAGACAUCACACUUAUAGAUCCCAUUGCAUUGGUAAGCACACACAUUCGAUGUACGACCGUCCUCUCAGUUAUUCAUUUUUUGUCCUGUAG
ensembl:lncRNA